rnacentral:rRNA from 1 species
AACGUAGGAGGCGAGCGUUAUCCGGAUUUACUGGGUGUAAAGCGCGUGUAGGCGGUCCUGCAAGUGGUGCGUGAAAGCGCCCGGCUCAACCGGGCGAGGACGUGGGCGAACUGCAGGGCUAGAGGCAGGUAGAGGCGUGUGGAAUUCCGGGUGUAGUGGUGAAAUGCGUAGAGAUCCGGAGGAACACCAGUGGCGAAGGCGACACGCUGGGCCUGGCCUGACGCUGAGAGGCGAAAGCAUGGGGAGCGAA